UACGUAGGCAGCGAGCGUUGUUCGGAAUUACUGGGCGUAAAGAGCGUGUAGGCGGUGCUCUAAGUUCGGUGUGAAAUCUCCUGGCUCAACUGGGAGGGUGCGCCGGAAACUGGAGUGCUUGAGCGUGGGAGAGGAAAGCGGAAUUCCUGGUGUAGCGGUGAAAUGCGUAGAUAUCAGGAGGAACACCUGUGGUGUAGACGGCUUUCUGGACCAUAGCUGACGCUGAGACAAGAAAGCGUGGGUAGCAAACAGG
rnacentral:rRNA from 1 species